rnacentral:misc_RNA from 1 species
GAUGAAGAACGCAGCGAAAUGCGAUAAGUAAUGUGAAUUGCAGAAUUCAGUGAAUCAUCGAAUCUUUGAACGCACCUUGCGCUCCUUGGUAUUCCAAGGAGCAUGCCUGUUUGAGUAUCAUUAAAUUAUCAACUGUGCCAAUUUGGUUACAGAUUGGAUGUGGGAGAUUCUUUUUGCAGGCCUUUGACUUCUCUUUGAGAUAAAAAAUAAAAGGUCGGCUCUCCUGAAAUGUAUUAGCAGUGCCUUUGUUGGUUCAUUAGGUGUGAUAAAUUGUCUACAUCUUCGCAUGAUACCUUCAUUUGUAAAGGUCAUAUUGCUUCUAAAUUGUCUUUGAUUGGACGCAAAACAUAUAUAAUGUUUGACAAACUUGAUCUCAAAUCAGGCAGGACUACCCGCUGAACUUAAGCAUAUCAAUAAGCGGAGGA